rnacentral:lncRNA from 1 species
AAAAAGUCAACCUUAAAAAUAGCAUCCAUUGUUUGAAACCCCCUUGAACUCAUUUAUCUCAUUCUUUGUUUGAAACUCACUACAAGCCUAAAAGUGAAAAAUAAUGUUAUUACCCUAUUUAAAGGGCUGAAAGAGUAUUGUUUGGAGUUGUGUGUUGAAUUGAUAUAGCUAUGAUAUUUCAAAAGUUGGUAGAAAAGAAAG